rnacentral:tRNA from 1 species
GGUUGUGGCUCAGUGGUAGAGUGCCUGCCUAGCACACGUGAGGCACUGGGUUCAAUCUCCAGCACAUUA